rnacentral:rRNA from 1 species
AAGUAAAGUCGUAACAAGGUUUCCGUAGGUGAACCUGCGGAAGGAUCAU